rnacentral:rRNA from 1 species
UCCGUAGGUGAACCUGCGGAAGGAUCAUUAACGAGUUUUGAAACGGGUUGUUGCUGGCCUUCCGAGGCAUGUGCACGCCCUGCUCAUCCACUCUACACCUGUGCACUUACUGUAGGUUGGCGUGGGUUUCUAGCCUCCGGGUUGGAAGCAUUCUGCCGGCCUAUGUACACUACAAACUCUUAAAGUAUCAGAAUGUAAACGCGUCUAACGCAUCUUAAUACAACUUUCAGCAACGGAUCUCUUGGCUCUCGCAUCGAUGAGGAACGCAGCGAAAUGCGAUAAGUAAUGUGAAUUGCAGAAUUCAGUGAAUCAUCGAAUCUUUGAACGCACCUUGCGCUCCUUGGUAUUCCGAGGAGCAUGCCUGUUUGAGUGUCAUGAAAUUCUCAACCCAUAAAUCCUUGUGAUCUAUGGGCUUGGAUUUGGAGGCUUGCUGGCCCUAGCGGUCGGCUCCUCUUGAAUGCAUUAGCUUGAUUCCGUGCGGAUCGGCUCUCAGUGUGAUAAUUGUGUACGCUGUGACCGUGAAGCGUUUUGGCAAGCUUCUAACCGUCCAUUAGGACAAUUUUAUAACAUCUGACCUCAAAUCAGGUAGGACUACCCGCUGAACUUAAGCAUAUCAAUAAGCGGAGGA